GUUGUAUAGUCAAGUAAUUAAGUGCAUGUGGUGGAUGCCUUGGCAGUCAGAGGCGAUGAAAGACGUGAUAGCCUGCGAAAAGCUCCGGGGAGGCGGCAAAUAUCCUUUGAUCCGGAGAUGUCUGAAUGGGGGAACCCACCUACUUUAAGGUAGGUAUUGCAACAUGAAUACAUAGUGUUGCAAGGCGAACGAGGGGAAGUGAAACAUCUCAGUACCCUUAGGAAAAGAAAUCAAUUGAGAUUCCCUCAGUAGCGGCGAGCGAACGGGGAUCAGCCCAUUAAGUUAUGUGUGUUUUAGUGGAACGCUCUGGGAAGUGCGAACGUAGAGGGUGAUAUUCCCGUACACGAAAGGGCACACAUAAUGAUGACGAGUAGGGCGAGGCACGUGAAACCUUGUCUGAAUAUGGGGGGACCAUCCUCCAAGGCUAAAUACUCCUGACUGACCGAUAGUGAACCAGUACCGUGAGGGAAAGGCGAAAAGAACCCCUGUGAGGGGAGUGAAAUAGAUCCUGAAACCGCAUGCAUACAAGCAGUGGGAGCACCUUCGUGGUGUGACUGCGUACCUUUUGUAUAAUGGGUCAGCGACUUAUAUUCAGUAGCGAGGUUAACCGUAUAGGGGAGCCGUAGAGAAAUCGAGUCUUAAUAGGGCGUUUAGUUGCUGGGUAUAGACCCGAAACCAGGCGAUCUAUCCAUGAGCAGGUUGAAGGUUGGGUAACACUAACUGGAGGACCGAACCCACUGUCGUUGAAAAGCCAGGGGAUGACUUGUGGAUAGGGGUGAAAGGCUAAUCAAGCCUGGUGAUAGCUGGUUCUCCCCGAAAGCUAUUUAGGUAGCGCCUCGGACGAAUACCAUAGGGGGUAGAGCACUGUUUCGGCUAGGGGGUCAUCCCGACUUACCAAACCGAUGCAAACUCCGAAUACCUAUGAGUACUAUCCGGGAGACAGACUGCGGGUGCUAACGUCCGUAGUCAAGAGGAAAACAAUCCAGACCGCCAGCUAAGGCCCCAAAAUCAUAGUUAAGUGGGAAACGAUGUGGGAAGGCAUAGACAGCUAGGAGGUUGGCUUANNNNNNNNNNGAAGCAGCCACCCUUUAAAGAAAGCGUAAUAGCUCACUAGUCGAGUCGGCCUGCGCGGAAGAUGUAACGGGGCUAAAACUAUGUGCCGAAGCUGCGGAUGUAUACUUUGUAUACGUGGUAGGGGAGCGUUCUGUAAGCCGAUGAAGGUGUGUUGAGAAGCNNNNNNNAUGCUGGAGGUAUCAGAAGUGCGAAUGCUGACGUGAGUAACGACAAAACGGGUGAAAAACCCGUUCGCCGAAAGACCAAGGGUUCCAGUCCAACGUUAAUCGGGGCUGGGUGAGUCGACCCCUAAGGCGAGGCCGAAAGGCGUAGUCGAUGGGAAAAUGGUUAAUAUUCCAUUACUUCUGUGUAAUGCGAUGAGAGGACGGAGAAGGCUAAAUCAGCCUGGCGUUGGUUGUCCAGGUGAAAGGAUGUAGGCAUGUAUCUUAGGCAAAUCCGGGGUACUCUAUGCUGAGAUCUGAUAGCAAGCUGUACUUGUACAGCGAAGUGGUUGAUGCCAUGCUUCCAGGAAAAGUCUCUAAGCUUCAGUUACACAGGAAUCGUACCCGAAACCGACACAGGUGGUCAGGUCGAGUAGACCAAGGCGCUUGAGAGAACUCUGCUGAAGGAACUAGGCAAAAUGGUACCGUAACUUCGGGAGAAGGUACGCUGUUGUUGGUGAUGGAACUCGCUUCCUGAGCUGACGACAGCCGCAGAAACCAGGCCGCUGCAACUGUUUAUUAAAAACAUAGCACUCUGCAAACACGAAAGUGGACGUAUAGGGUGUGAUGCCUGCCCGGUGCUGGAAGGUUAAUUGAUGGGGUUAGCGUAAGCGAAGCUCUUGAUCGAAGCCCCAGUAAACGGCGGCCGUAACUAUAACGGUCCUAAGGUAGCGAAAUUCCUUGUCGGGUAAGUUCCGACCUGCACGAAUGGCAUAAUGAUGGCGGCGCUGUCUCCAGCAGAGGCUCAGUGAAAUCGAAAUCGCUGUGAAGAUGCAGUGUACCCGCGGCUAGACGGAAAGACCCCGUGAACCUUUACUGCAGCUUGACACUGAACUUUGACCUUACUUGUGUAGGAUAGGUGGGAGGCUUUGAAGCUGGAACGCUAGUUCCAGUGGAGCCGUCCUUGAAAUACCACCCUGGUAAUGUUGAGGUUCUAACUCUGUCCCGUGAUCCGGGACGAGGACCGUGUCUGGUGGGUAGUUUGACUGGGGCGGUCUCCUCCUAAAGAGUAACGGAGGAGUACGAAGGUGCGCUCAGCGUGGUCGGAAAUCACGCGUAGAGUAUAAAGGCAAAAGCGCGCUUAACUGCGAGACCCACAAGUCGAGCAGGUACGAAAGUAGGUCUUAGUGAUCCGGUGGUUCUGUAUGGAAGGGCCAUCGCUCAACGGAUAAAAGGUACUCUGGGGAUAACAGGCUGAUACCGCCCAAGAGUUCAUAUCGACGGCGGUGUUUGGCACCUCGAUGUCGGCUCAUCUCAUCCUGGGGCUGAAGCAGGUCCCAAGGGUAUGGCUGUUCGCCAUUUAAAGAGGUACGCGAGCUGGGUUUAGAACGUCGUGAGACAGUUCGGUCCCUAUCUACCGUGGGCGCUGGAAAUUUGAGAGGAUCUGCUCCUAGUACGAGAGGACCAGAGUGGACGAACCUCUGGUGUACCGGUUGUGACGCCAGUCGCAUCGCCGGGUAGCUAUGUUCGGAAGGGAUAACCGCUGAAAGCAUCUAAGCGGGAAGCCUACCUCAAGAUAAGAUUUCCCUAGGACUUUAUGUCCUCUAAAGAGCCGUUCGAGACUAGGACGUUGAUAGGUUGGAUGUGGAAGCAUAGUGAUAUGUGAAGCUGACCAAUACUAAUUGCUCGUGAGGCUUGACUAUACAACACCCAAGCAGUUG
rnacentral:rRNA from 1 species